AGCCUACGGGACGCAGCAGUGGGGAAUAUUGCACAAUGGGGGAAACCCUGAUGCAGCAACGCCGCGUGAGUGAAGAAGUAUUUCGGUAUGUAAAGCUCUAUCAGCAGGGAAGAAGAAAGACGGUACCUGACUAAGAAGCCCCGGCUAACUACGUGCCAGCAGCCGCGGUAAUACGUAGGGGGCAAGCGUUAUCCGGAUUUACUGGGUGUAAAGGGAGCGUAGACGGCGAUGCAAGUCUGAAGUGAAAGGCGGGGGCCCAACCCCCGGACUGCUUUGGAAACUGUAUGGCUGGAGUGCAGGAGAGG
rnacentral:rRNA from 1 species